CCUAGAUGGACCUGGCAAUAUAUAUCUAUAUCGUACACGGCAGGUAAGUGGAUGUUAAUUGUUAAAACGACUGAAUUUUCAUACUGAUCUGGAUAGAUCUUGUCCCAUUUUAUUAAUUAGAGCUCCUCUCUGGCCUCUUUAGAUUAAUCAGUUUGGCAUUCAGGUCACUAAGAGAAUUGACCUGAUACUUUGCAAUAGCUCAGAGUAAGCGCUGCGGAAUCUGAUGGCGAUGAUCAGGGUCAUGGCCUGACCAUGAUGCUGAGCUCCCGCCGAGAAUAGGCCCUACAGCGCCCAAAAGCUAACAAGUGAGCAAAAAAUCACCCUAAUGUGCACCCAGCAUGGAUAAAACAAUCCAGCGGAAACCCCAAAUGAAGCCGUCAGAUGCGAGCACCUUGGUGGCCGACAUGUUUGCGGUAUCUUGCGCGGCCCAGCCAGACCACCAAGAUGGUGGCCGAUACAGCCCCAAAACCACCUCGACGCCGGCUCACCCAGAGACUCCCCCAGUGCCCCAAUUCACCAAAGGGGGAUACCUCCCAAAUCCUAACUAAACUGAUGGAGGUGAAAACUUACCUGGCAGG